CUCUUAAGGUUUGGAAAAGAUAGAACUCCGAGAGGACUUUGAAGACUUGGCGAUAAAAGUGGGGCCCUUUGUGCAAAGUUAGUGACGGGCAAAUUAUGGGCGUGUAUGGGGUGUUUCAAGAGAACGGGUGUGUAAAAAUGUAGAGUUCAGGACCACAGACCCCUCCGCUGGGAGAUACCACUGAGGAGAUGGGGGAGGCCUGAAAUGGUACGGACCUCCCCGGUACCUAUCGCCGGGGAGAAAGGAUGCAGAGUCGGUGAAAAUACAUUCCUCCCUCCACAGGUCAGUAUCACUGGGCAGACAGGGAGAACGUGUGGAGCUGGUAGUUCUUUCAAGAAAACAACAGUAGGGAGAUAAAUACUAUUAACCUAGCGGUGGCGAAGGCUCAGGUUGGUACAGUCCGUUGUGGAAGAUACCACUGGUGCAAAUAGGGAGGUGUGGUACAAUCUGUCCUCGGAAAAAGAAACGUGAAGAAAGUGACAUUGGCCUCCUGGGAACCUGUUGCAGAGAGAUUUGAGAGGGCGGAGAUUCCAGAGUCCCAGUCCUAUGGGGCCUUCCUGAGGCCUAGGGGAAUAACCGGGAGACAGACAGUGAUCAGGUUCCGGACCUCAAACACUCUGCCCUAUUAAUCACAUUCUACCAAUUGAUCACCUGAAAGAAAAUGCACAGGUGAGCCCUUUCAGGCUAUUGCAAUAGGGAAAACUUUCCUUAAUGAGGAACAUCCCAAAGACAAGGAAGGAGACCUCGGGUUGUAUAGAGGCAGGUAAGGAAAGGAGUCAUCCUUGAGUCAUCAGGACAGAUAGAGAUAGGUCUUAUCUCAGAAUAUGCAGAUACAUUAGGGACUACUAUAGACUGAAUUGCGCCCCUCCCCCAUCCCCCAAAUUCGUAUGUUGAAGCCCAAACUCUCAAUGUGAUGGUAUUUGAGGAUGGGGCCUUUGGGAGGUAAUUAAGGCUAUAUGAGGUCAUGAGGGUGGGGCCUUGGUGUAAUGGGAUUAGUGCUCUUUUAAAAACAGACGUCCAAGAGUUUGCUCACUCUCUCUCCAUUUGCACAAAAAAGAGGUGAUGUGAGAACAGAGUAAGAAGGCAAUUGUCUGCAAGCCUUAUGGCUUUCUUUUUAGAGAACCCUCACCAGGAACCAAAUCAGCUGGCCUCUUCAUCUUGGACUUCUCCCAGCCUCCAGAACUAUGCCAAAUAAACCUCUGGUUUAACCCA